rnacentral:rRNA from 1 species
UACGGAGGAUGCGAGCGUUAUCCGGAUUUAUUGGGUGUAAAGGGAGCGUAGACGGGAUGUUAAGUCAGGUGUGAAAGUUUGGGGCUUAACCGUAAAAUUGCAGUUGAAACUGGCGGUCUUGAGUGCGGCAGAGGCAGGCGGAAUUCGUGGUGUAGCGGUGAAAUGCUUAGAUAUCACGAAGAACUCCGAUUGCGAAGGCAGCUUGCUGGAGCGUAACUGACGUUGAUGCUCGAAAGUGUGGGUAUCAAACAGG